rfam:Gossypium raimondii chromosome 4, whole genome shotgun sequence.
AAACCAUGCAUUGGACAUUUUCUCAGUAGUUCAUUGAAUGACUCUCAUGCUUCAUAUAAUGUUUCAUCCUCAGAUUUUCUAAAUGAUGUAAUAUCAUUCCUCAACUU